UACGGAGGGUGCAAGCAUUGAUCGGAAUUACUGGGCGUAAAGGGCGCGUAGGCGGCGAGGGAAGUCAGAUGUGAAAUUCCGGGGCUCAACCCCGGAGCUGCAUUUGAAACUUUCUUGCUAGAGUGCAGGUAGGGUAAACGGAAUUCCACGUGUAGCGGUGAAAUGCGUAGAUAUGUGGAAGAACACCGGUGGUGAAGACGGUUUACUGGGCUGUAACUGACGCUGAGGCGCGAAAGCAUGGGGAGCAAACAGG
rnacentral:rRNA from 1 species